GAUGAACGCUGGCGGCGUGCCUAAUACAUGCAAGUCGAGCGAACGGACGAGAAGCUUGCUUCUCUGAUGUUAGCGGCGGACGGGUGAGUAACACGUGGAUAACCUACCUAUAAGACUGGGAUAACUUCGGGAAACCGGAGCUAAUACCGGAUGAUAUUUUGAACCGCAUGGUUCAAAAGUGAAAGACGGUCUUGCUGUCACUUAUAGAUGGAUCCGCGCUGCAUUAGCUAGUUGGUAAGGUAACGGCUUACCAAGGCAACGAUGCAUAGCCGACCUGAGAGGGUGAUCGGCCACACUGGAACUGAGACACGGUCCAGACUCCUACGGGAGGCAGCAGUAGGGAAUCUUCCGCAAAGGGCGAAAGCCUGACGGAGCAACGCCGCGUGAGUGAUGAAGGUCUUCGGAUCGUAAACCCCUGUUAUUAGGGAAGAACAUAUGUGUAAGUAACUGUGCACAUCUUGACGGUACCUAAUCAGAAAGCCACGGCUAACUACGUG
rnacentral:rRNA from 1 species